AAACCAGCACCUCAAGUGGUCAGGAUGAUUAUUGGGCCUAAAGCAUCCGUAGCCUGCUCUGUAAGUUUUCGGUUAAAUCUGUACGCUCAACGUACAGGCUGCCGGGAAUACUGCAGAACUAGGGAGUGGGAGAGGUAGACGGUACUCGGGAGGAAGUGGUAAAAUGCUUUGAUCUCUCGAUGACCACCUGUGGCGAAGGCGGUCUACCAGAACACGUCCGACGGUGAGGGAUGAAAGCUGGGGGAGCAAACCGGAUUAGAAACCCCGGUAGUCC
rnacentral:rRNA from 1 species